GCCAUAUAUUAAUUGUUUUCUUUUCCCUUUCUUCUUGCAAUGCUACUCUAGCCCAUAUAAGAUUGGAAUGCACCAGGAAAGAACAAAACAAUACCGACAUCUAUGUGUUGCUCAUCAAGCGCAUGCAGCAUGGAUGAAAAACACAUUUGUCUGAACGUGUGAACUUCGUCCUGCAGCGCAGUUGUAGGAGCAUCUAGCGUCAUGCUAAUAGCUAUGGCGACAGUGUUGAGAGGAAUGUUUUCAUGAGGAAUGUUGCUGAAUGAAAGACACUCU
rnacentral:lncRNA from 1 species